GAUAGUGAAUGCAAAAAUAUUAUAUUUUCCAAUUUUGAUGCAGAAUCAAAAUAGACGUUAAAAAAAUAUAAAAUUGAUAUUCCGGAAGAAAAUCGGUCAAAAUUUGACAAAGUUAUAAGGGUUUGAAGUUCUGAAAUAGUGUUUAAGAGAAAUGUCUAAGGGAAAGUAUGGAGAAAAUGGACAAUGACCAUACCCAU